UACGAAGGGGGCUAGCGUUGCUCGGAAUCACUGGGCGUAAAGGGUGCGUAGGCGGGCCUUUAAGUCAGGGGUGAAAUCCUGGAGCUCAACUCCAGAACUGCCUUUGAUACUGAGGAUCUUGAGUUCGGGAGAGGUGAGUGGAACUGCGAGUGUAGAGGUGAAAUUUGUAGAUAUUCGCAAGAACACCAGUGGCGAAGGCGGCUCACUGGCCCGAUACUGACGCUGAGGCACGAAAGCGUGGGGAGCAAACAGG
rnacentral:rRNA from 1 species